rnacentral:rRNA from 1 species
UUCGAUUCGUGGCUCGAGGACGAACGCUGGCGGCGUGCUUCAUACAUGCAAGUCGAACGAGAAUCUGGUGCUUGCACCAGAGGAAAGUGGCGGACGGGUGAGUAAUGUGUAGAGAAUCUGCCCUAGAGCGGGGGAUAGCAGUUGGAAACGACUAUUAAUACCCCAUAUGAGCGUAGUUGAGAUACUAUUCUUGAAAACUCCGGUGCUCUGGGAUGAGUCUGCAUCUGAUUAGCUAGUUGGGGGUGUAAUGGACCACCAAGGCGACGAUCAGUAGCUGGUUUGAGAGGAUGAUCAGCCACAAUGGGACUGAGACACGGCCCAUACUCCUACGGGAGGCAGCAGUAGGGAAUUUUGCGCAAUGGGCGAAAGCCUGACGCAAGCAACGCCGCGUGAUCGAGACGCUUUUCGGAGUGUAAAGAUCUGUCACAGGGGACGAAAGAUGACGGUACCCUGAGAGGAAGCACCGGCUAACUCCGUGCCAGCAGCCGC